rnacentral:rRNA from 1 species
UACGAAGGGGGCUAGCGUUGCUCGGAAUCACUGGGCGUAAAGCGCACGUAGGCGGGUCUUUAAGUCAGGGGUGAAAUCCUGGAGCUCAACUCCAGAAUUGCCUUUGAUACUGAGGAUCUCGAGUCCGGGAGAGGUGAGUGGAACUCCGAGUGUAGAGGUGAAAUUCGUAGAUAUUCGGAAGAACACCAGUGGCGAAGGCGGCUCACUGGCCCGGUACUGACGCUGAGGUGCGAAAGCGUGGGGAGCAAACAGG